rnacentral:rRNA from 1 species
ACAAUGGAGAGUUUGAUCUUGGCUCAGGAUGAACGCUAGCGGCAGGCCUAAUACAUGCAAGU